AUUGAACGCUGGCGGCAGGCUUAACACAUGCAAGUCGAGCGAGCGGCGGACGGGUGAGUAAUGUCUGGGAAACGGCCUGAUGGAGGGGGAUAACUACUGGAAACGGUAGCUAAUACCGCAUACCAUCAGAUGGGCCCAGAUGGUAUUAGCUAGUAGGUGGGGGAAUGGCGCACCUAGGCGACGCUCACUAGCCGGUCGGAGAGGAUGACCAGCCACACUGGAAUUGAGGCACGGGCCAGACGCCUACGGGAGGCAGCAGUGGGGAAUAUUGCACAAUGGGCGCAAGCCUGAUGCAGCCAUGCCGCGUGUGUGAAGAAGGCCUUCGGGUUGUAAAGCACUUUCAUCGAUGAGGCGUUACUCGCAGAAGAAGCACCGGCUAACUCCGUGCCAGCAGCCGCGGUAAUAC
rnacentral:rRNA from 1 species